rnacentral:snoRNA from 1 species
AUGAACUAAAAAACAUAAUUUACUUUUCUGAUGGGUUAUUUCUGUGCAAUGGUUGAAAAUAGCAAUUUCCUCAGUAGUUUACGUAGCGUGUCACUCAUAUUCAUUGGUUGCCUGGAGGGAUCUUGGAGACAGUG